rnacentral:rRNA from 1 species
AUGAGGCACUAUUUUGUGGAGAAUCUGACAUACCCCGAGUCGUACUUUUGUCGCCGGUUUAGGAUGAGCACUGAGUUGUUCAGGCGCAUUACAGAGAAACUAACGAGCCAUGACCCGUUUUUUCAGCAAAGGAGGAAUGCCGCCAGAGAGCUCGGGCAUAACACCUUUCAGAAGGUGACAGCCGCUUUGCGUAUGUUGGCAUACGGUAUCCCGGCUGAUCUAGUUGAUGAUCACUUGGCCAUGGGUGAGAGCCAAGCCAUCAUGUGUGUCAAGCGCUUCGCAGUCGAAAUUGUGCAAGUGUUUAGCCAGGAGUAUUUGAGAUCUUCCAAUGUUGAAGACGCCGCAAGGCUAUUGAAGAUGAACAAAACUCCCGGCUUCCUAGGUGUAACACCCCGGUGUAAUGAUGCUACAGUAAUCCCUGGGGUUAAGUUAAUCCUUUUGCUAAACAAGUGUUUGAUCAUCUUUGUUUCUCUUUCAUUUCAAAUUCCGGUUGAAUUCAAUUUCAAAUUUUGA